rnacentral:rRNA from 1 species
AUGUGGGCAGGGUCGGCGGUUGGGGCAGGCUCGCCAACUGGGCAAAAGCGAGCGCUGGUGAGCGCAAUGAAAGGAAGCCAAGCGUCGGCGUACGUCAACGAUUCGGGCGCCUGCGGCAUGUAUCUUGGUGAAUGUACAGAGCUAAUGUUCAAUACAUUCUCUCAGGAAUAUCUGAUCUGCGCCAUGACAAUAUGGCCUUGCUGCAGCCAGGCGGUUCUUGGGAGUAUGGUGCUUCGAUUUGGUUCCUGUGGUGAGUGUAUAUGGAGAGGCCGCAAGCAGCAGGGGUCAGCGGAGCGGCUGCUGCGGUCGACAGAGCAGCAGGAGCAAGGAGCUCGAGAUGGUUCAGGUAGAGCGCCUACAACGAUUACUGAACUGGAUAGAGGUGCCUUAUGA